rnacentral:rRNA from 1 species
UACGAAGGGGGCUAGCGUUGCUCGGAAUCACUGGGCGUAAAGGGUGCGUAGGCGGGUUUUUAAGUCAGGGGUGAAAUCCUGGAGCUCAACUCCAGAACUGCCUUUGAUACUGGCGAUCUUGAGUUCGAGAGAGGUGAGUGGAACUGCGAGUGUAGAGGUGAAAUUCGUAGAUAUUCGCAAGAACACCAGUGGCGAAGGCGGCUCACUGGCUCGAUACUGACGCUGAGGUGCGAAAGCGUGGGGAGCAAACAGG